CCUCCGCAGUGAGGCUUAAAGCUCCAACCAGGUGACGUGGAGGGUCCAGAAGAAGCAUCAAACACACUGUCCUCGGGGACUUAAGGCUCACGACCCUCCAGCCAGUCAGCCCUCCCCAGAACCUCAGCUGCCUGGUCCUUACGCCCCCUUCGCCCCCUUCGCCCUGCCACAGCCAAACCCAGGGCGCACACCUGCUGGAGCCAGAAGAGAAGCGCAGGCGACAGGAAGCACUCCCAUCGGACCAGAUAACUUCUGGAACCUCACGAAGGGCACCGCGGGGCAGCAAUGACGGGCGGACCCGCCCCCACUGCAGGCGGCAGCAUCCUCCUCAUCCUCCCCGCCAGCGGCUGUGGAAGCGAGUGGGGGGUGGGGUCCGCGACAGUGACGGGAGAGCAGGCAGCGCGGUGAGGAUGGCACGCGAUUGCUUCCGCCGCUGAGAUCCUGGGGCCCUUUGCCGUGGGUGCCCACCCAGCCUUUCCUGCCGACGCUUCCGCAGCCAACAGCUGCUCACUUUUCGCUCCGUGUUUGUGCAUAUUCACACAUGACCUGCUAGAGCAAGCUGCGGUUCUGAAAGACUGGGUUAAACAGCAGGACGAGGGAACAUUAGUUAGCAGUCCUGAGCCCUUGCACGCUCUAGGACCUGGGCUAAGUGUAGACGCACGAUUACCCAUCUUGUCCUCACCAGCUUAUGGUGCAUGGUCCUUUAUCAUCUGAUGCAUCCUUCUGCCUCCGGGGGAGCUCAGGGACCCAACUGCUGGAGCAGCCCCAGAGUGCGACCUGGUCAGUUCCCCAGCCUGUGCUCUGUUGACUCCACCUCCAGCGCAUGUGCCUCAUUCAUUGCACAUCUCCAUUAUCACCUGUUGACCAGUAGCCAUCCUGCACUUAGCAGCUUUCUACUACUCUCCCGCCAUUAUCUUAUGCUGUGUGAAAAUCAUUAAGAUAUUACAGAUCACAAUCUCAAGGAAGGAAAGAUGAAGGCCAGCCUGCAGCUAAGAGGCAGGAAGACCUCAGCACAGAGGCAGUGGUCCCAUCUCCUGAUCCUCUGUCACUGGUCAUUCAUUCUCCGGCCCACACCCACAUGUUUUUAAAGAAUUUGUAAUGACAGAAAAAUGCUCAUCAUUAAAUGUUAUCUGUAAGAGGAAGACCCAGAACAAGAUCACGAGAUGUUAACGGUAGUUAUUGCUGGGUGGUUGGAUGACAGAUGACUUAUUUUCCUCUGGUCCUUUCCUCUAUCUUCCACAAAGAGCAUGUAUUCAUUUUAUAAUAAGAAAAUAAAUUUUAUUUGAAAAAAAGGCAUCACCAAAAAGACUGGGAGUAAGCACACCAAAAUAUUAAGAGUGACUGUCUUUGCACAGAACUGCAUGUUUCUAAUCACUAAACUUAGCCCUGGCUCAUAGUCUUGAAUUCUAUAGAAGAUAAUUUAUCUUAAAUUCUAAAUACUUGAAAUAUCCAAAGAACAAGAUUUGUGAUAAAAUAAUUGUUAAGAAAUGAUCAUCUGCUUUCAAAACCAGUGAAAUAACGGAGGGUGAAUUUGGCGUAGUGUCCUGUGAAGUUGAAUAGGGCUGGUCUUUGAGCUCAGCUCUCACCACAGCAUCGGAGACCAGGAUGCUCUUGACCUGCGUGGCUGGGAGUGAAGAUUGACGGGAGGGUGGAGCUGGAUGGUGCAAAUCUAUUUGCCUAUGUGUGUAUACAUGAUAAUAAAAUGUCUUGAAAAAAAGUCACUCUACUCUUUUUGCUCUUUCAGAAUUGAGAAAUCUAAAUUCUAACAUUACUGUCUAUCAGGACCCUAUAAUACCCUAGACAUUUGGGUAGAAUACUGGCCUCAGUAUUGCUUCUUUGGACUUUUUGAUUCCUCUGAUGUAGGUCUGAAUGAAAAUAUCUUUUAGUGUUCUGUUCUCACUUCUGAGGACCCUGGCCCAGGUACACAGGUCUGUCUGCAUUGUGAGUCAAGAACUGACAAGCAGGCAGACUGGCUGGCGAGUAAGGGCCCCCGUGCAUCCCUCUGGAAGGGCCUCUGGUUCCCAGGAGCCCUCCGUCUUCCUGCACAUCGUGGACCUCCCUUCCUGUACUCCAGCCGUGUGGAGUCACUGCCUGGGUAAGGGGAAAAAAUAACAGCAACAACGAACACUACUGUUGGGUCCUCGCUGAGCGCCACAUGUGCUCAAGUCCUCCUCACAACACCUCUGGGGUAGACACUAUGAUAAGCCACUUUUGCAGAUGAGAAUACUGGGGCUUAGAGGAGUAUGUAAGAGUCAUAUGUAGCUGGUGCAGGAGGUGCCAGCCUCCUGUCUCCUGAUGCCAGCUGAGGCCAGCCCUACUCCAAUGAGCCGGCACCUCAUAGCUCCAGGCACAUCUUGCUCUCAUGCAUUCUCCUUUCUCAGUUCUGGACUUUUCCAAGGAGAAGCCCCUUGUUGUAUAAUAAAAAAUUAGGGGAGAUUUAAAAAUCCUUGAACUUCCCCAGUGCCUUUGUUAUUCAUGAGCCCCUCAGGUACCACCUGAGUUUGUGUUAAUGAGGUGACUCCUGGUGAGCCCCUAGAAAGCUUCAGGAUGGGGGCUGGUUGCCAGGGGAACCAAUCCGGUGAUUAGAGGGUGGGACUCUGAGCCAGCCUGAUUUCUGGGGAGGGGGAUGGCUAGAGAUUCAUUCAGUCAAUCGUGUGGCCAGUGAUUUUAUCAAUUAUGCCUACGUAAUGAAACCCCACUAAAACCGCUGGGCACUCAGACUCAGUGGAGCAUCUCAGUUGGUAGACACAUUGAUGUGCCCAGAAGGCGACGGACCCUGACUCCACAAGGAGGGGCACAAAAGCUCUGUGUUCAGGACCCUCCCAGACCUUGCCCUAUGCAUCUCCUCAUUUGUCUGUCCCUGAGUUGCAUCCUUUAUAACAAAACUGUAAAUAUAAGUAUAGCACUUUCCUGAGCUGUGUGACUUGACCUGAGGGGGUUGUGGGAGCCCCUGAGUUUGUAGCUAGUCAAUCAGAAGUGUGGGUUGGCUGCGCAUCUCCUGAACUUGUGUCUGGCUUCUGAAGUGGGGACAGUUGGAGCCGAGUGGGGUCUGUGCUAACAUCACCAUCUGAGUGGAGAGGCCAGCAUUGAACUGCGGGACACCAGCUGGGAAUGGUGUCAGAGCGCCUCCUUUCCUGUAUCCCCUUCGCACUCCUUUGAAGGGGAAACUCUGUGUCUGAAGGAAGCUAGAAUCCUAGUGCACGUGGCCAGCAAGGAUGGAUUAAAACCAGCUUAUUUGUAAAAACCUUCCUUCUGGCUCCAUGUUAAAUCCACUUGAUUUAGGGUCGCCUCGGAACACAUUUCAAACCAGCUGGAUCGUCGCCAUCGUGGAAGCUGCCGGGUGUUCCGUAGGAACAAUGGGAAGUGACACUGAAGCCUCUGGAACUGCACAGUCAGUGAAGGCACCCCAGGUCAAGGCAACCUAAGGAGAGAUUGUUCUUUGACCUUCUGUCUUAUAAGUCAAUGGCACGUUCUGUCCUCCCAACUGCCUUGGAGGCUCAGGAGAGAGUGUUUUUUGUCACUAUCCUAUAGACGGGGCAGAGAUAAACUGCAAAUUCUCUGAAGUCAGGGACGAGCUUAACCUACCGCUGGGCGUGGAGGAAGGAUGGAAGCAGUGUGGAAAGAAGUGUAAGAUUUGGGGACAGGAUACACAACAGUAACUUGUCAGAAGAGAACAUCCUCCUAUCAGUUCAAAACAACAUGGGAAACCAGGUUACAAGACAGCUCAGACUCUGCGACAAUCACGUGCUCUUGGCCGGGGAGCGUGCAGCCUCGAGC